rnacentral:rRNA from 1 species
UACGGGAUAUUCUGGGUCUGUCGCAUGAUGGGUUCGGGAAAGAUUGCGUCCUUUGGGUGUUUUUGGUGGGGGAUGGGCUCGCGGCCUAUCAGCUUGUUGGUGGGGUGAUGGCCUACCAAGGCGGUGACGGGUAGCCGGCCUGAGAGGGUGGACGGUCACACUGGGACUGAGACACGGCCCAGACUCCUACGGGAGGCAGCAGUGGGGAAUAUUGCACAAUGGGCGCAAGCCUGAUGCAGCGACGCCGCGUGAGGGAUGGAGGCCUUCGGGUUGUGAACCUCUUUCGCCAGUGAAGCAGGCCCGCCUCGUUUGUGGGUGGGUUGACGGUAGCUGGAUAAGAAGCGCCGGCUAACUAC